UAAAAAUUUGAUUUUUGUUUUAUAUUUUUGCUUUAAGAAUGAAAUACAUGUAAAUUUUUUUGUGAGGGAGAGUGUAAUUUAAAAGGAGCUUUGUUAGUUCGCAGUGUAUAGAAUUAAACUUUGUAAGAGAAAUCUUGAUUUGGUAAUUUUUAAGUUAAAUCUGACAAAAUUUGUGCCAGCAGUCGCGGUUAUACUUAGAGGUUAAGUAGAAAAUUAUUGGUAAUUAAUUGAUUGUUUGAAUAUUUUGGUAGUUAGAAUUUAAUAAGGAUAAUAAGGUAGAAUUGGUUUGUUUUAUAUUAAAGGAGAAUAUGAAAUAUAGGAAAUGAGGGUUAGGAAGCUAAAGAGAUAAACUAGGAUUAGAUACCCUACUAUACUUUAGAAAGUUUGUGUUACUAGGAGAUUAAUAGUUAUAGUCUUUAAAUUUAAAGAAUUUGGCGGUAUCUUAGUCUUGUUAGAGGAACCUGUCUUAUAAACGAUAAACCACGAAAAAUCUUACUUAUUUAAAUUAUUUAGUUUGUAUACCGUCAUUAUAGAGGACUUUAAGAGAAAAGAUGAGUUGUUAAAAUUAAUUGGGAUUAAGAAUAUUAGAUCAAGGUGCAAUUAAUAAAUAAGGUAAGGUGGGUUACAAUGUGAUUAACACAAACGGAUUGGGAUAAGAAAGUUAUUUUAUGAAGGAGGAUUUAAUUGUAAGUAAGUUUUAAUAUGGCUUGCUGAUAAGGGCUCUAAGUUAUGUACAUAUUGCCCGUCGCUUUCGUUAUUAAAAUGAAAUAAGUCGUAACAUAGUAAAUGUACUGGAAAGUGUAUUUGGAAAAAA
rnacentral:ncRNA from 1 species